rnacentral:rRNA from 1 species
GUAGGGAAUAUUGCGCAAUGGACGAAAGUCUGACGCAGCGACGCCGCGUGAGUGAUGAAGGCCUUAGGGUCGUAAAGCUCUGUUGAAUGGGAAGAAAAAAAUGACGGUACCAUUCGAGGAAGGACCGGCUAACUUCGUGCCAGCAGCCGCGGUAAUACGAGGGGUCCUAGCGUUGUUCGGAAUCAUUGGGCGUAAAGGGUGUGUAGGUGGCCAUGUAAGUCAGGUGUGAAAGCCCCGGGCUCAACCCGGGAAGUGCACUUGAUACUGCGUGGCUUGAGUACCGAAGAGGGUAGUGGAAUGCCAGGUGUAGUGGUGAAAUACGUAGAUAUCUGGAGGAACACCGGUGGCGAAGGCGGCUACCUGGUCGAGUACUGACACUGAGACACGAAAGCAUGGGGAUCAAACAGGAUUAGAAACCCGGGUAGUCC